rnacentral:rRNA from 1 species
GAUGAACGCUGGCGGCGUGCCUAAUACAUGCAAGUCGAGCGAACGGACGAGAAGCUUGCUUCUCUGAUGUUAGCGGCGGACGGGUGAGUAACACGUGGAUAACCUACCUAUAAGACUGGGAUAACUUCGGGAAACCGGAGCUAAUACCGGAUAAUAUUUUGAACCGCAUGGUUCAAAAGUGAAAGACGGUCUUGCUGUCACUUAUAGAUGGAUCCGCGCUGCAUUAGCUAGUUGGUAAGGUAACGGCUUACCAAGGCAACGAUGCAUAGCCGACCUGAGAGGGUGAUCGGCCACACUGGAACUGAGACACGGUCCAGACUCCUACGGGAGGCCGCAGUAGGGAAUCUUCCGCAAUGGGCGAAAGCCUGACGGAGCAACGCCGCGUGAGUGAUGAAGGUCUUCGGCUCGUAAAACUCUGUUAUUAGGGAAGAACAUAUGUGUAAGUAACUGUGCACAUCUUGACGGUACCUAAGCAGAAAGCCACGGCUACCUACGU